GAUGAAGAACGUAGCGAAAUGCGAUAAGUAAUGUGAAUUGCAGAAUUCCGUGAAUCAUCGAAUCUUUGAACGCACAUUGCGCCCCCUGGUAUUCCGGGGGGCAUGCCUGUCCGAGCGUCAUUGCAACCUUCAAGCGCGGCUUGUGUGUUGGGUCUCGUCCCCCGUGGACGGGCCCGAAAGGCAGUGGCGGCGUCCCGACAUGGUGCCCGAGCGUAUGGGAAUCCUCUUCCGCUCGAAUCGGCCCAUGCGGCGCUGGUCGUAACCAAAUUUUUUACCGGUUGACCUCGGAUCAGGUAGGGAUACCCGCUGAACUUAAGCAUACCAAUAAGCGGAGGA
rnacentral:misc_RNA from 1 species